CCGUGGGACUCUGCCCUCUGCUCCUUGCACAUCCCAUCAGGUCUGCUUUAGGUGGAUCACCUGCAGAACCAGGACUUUUUUAGCCUGAUCACCUGCAGAACCAGGUCUUUCAAACACUCUCCAAUCCACGAGGAGGAAAACCCACUUGUCACAUUCCCAGGAUUACUGUGCCACAAUCCUGUCUCUCAGCUCAGCAUCCUCUUUUUAACCACCCUCUCAUUUGCUGUACCCAGUGACACAACCACAUCCACUCCCCCCCUCAGCCCUCACUGAGAAAAUUCGGGUUUUCACCCCUACAGGUGUGCCAGCCUGGGCAGAAAGAAAAGGCUGCCAGAGCCAGAGAAAUACUAAAACCAGACACAGACAAAGCAGGGCUGGAAUAUUCUGUUUCAAAGCAAUGACAGAAAGUGGAGCUGAGGCUAAAAUGAAUAAACUCCAGUUAUUGAUAGUUUGCUUUGAAUGAACAGCUCUGCUCCACCAGCCUGCUCCUGCCUUGAGUGGAGGGGCUCCAUUCUGGAUUUCCAUCCCUUCUCUCAGCGAUGGUUUGCUCAGAUCUCUGCUCUCCUGCUGGCUCACCCACCCCAAGGCUUCACCCCCAAAAUCUGCCCACCCUUAUCAGAGCCCCCAGUCGCUGCCAUCCCUUCCUGCAUUUCUCUCACUGCUCUUCCCUUUAAAUUCUCCCCGAGUGAAUUCCCUCUCAGGGAGAUGCUGAAUUCCCAGUGACCCCUCCUCAUAUCCGGAAUCCUACCAAAAAACAAAUUAUUUUUGGAUGUAAAAAUAAUCCUGCACACUUCAAACACGAAGGAAGAAGCAGAGCAGCCUUGUCCUCACUUGCUGGGUGACCCUGGGCAAUUCAGUCCCUUUCAAGGGUCUCAAGUGACUUUAUUUUUAAAAUCACAUAAAAAUGCAAAUUUUGCCUCUUCUGCAAAAUAUUUUGGAAUGUGCUGAGUGACAGAAUUGAGCUGAGGUUUGUUAUCACGAUCAGGCACUUUCUGAAAACGGUGUUUUCACAGCCUGGAAAAUAUCAGGAGAUCUGCUGAGGCUUGAUAAAGAGGGAUGAAUACACUGGGAUGAGUAAUCUGUCACCCUGGAGGAGAUGUAGGAGUCUGUGGGUGCUGUCUGAAAUGUGGCUGGAAUGAGGAAUCAACGGAUGAUCCCAGCUUUUCAUGCUUCAGGGAAUAAAAAAAGGCAAAAUUACCUGAGCACCUUGAACUCAGGUGUGCUCAGCCUCUCACCCUGAGUUUUCUGCAUCCUAAAAGAAAUAUUCCAGGGAAUGACUCUCAAGCCUUUUGAAUCAAUGGGGUUUUUUUUUCUGUUUCCCUAGAAAGUAGAGAAAGCCUGAAAAUGCUACCCCCUAAUGGCACAGCCGGGUGUGGGGUGCUGGCCUAGGAAAAGCUGAUCCAGGUUUUAUCCACAGGGAAUAAGAGGGAUGGAAAUCGUGUAGUCUCUGCUAGAAAGAUGUGUCCCUGCAGGGAGGAGACCUCGUGCAAACACCCUGACAGCAAAACGUUCCUCCAGGAAGGGGAUGAGGAACAAAAAUAAAUCCCAUUUUUGGCAUUCAGCUGAACUCAAACCCAGAGGUUCCAGCUCCAGCGUUUUGGAUGUGGGAGAUGUUUUGAGUGUGGGAUCAGGGAUCCUGCCUGUUCCAGCUCCCUCAGCCCAGGGCUCAGGCAGGCCCUGGAGAAGCUGAUGGGUUCAUUGCUGUCUUGGACCCAAAAACCACAACUGGAAUAAGGAGAAAAAAAAAGGGGGAAAAAUACUUUAAAAGGGCAGAGAGUUACCAAAAUGCUUUUAGGAUUUUGAAACUCAUAGGGGGUUGUAAAGUGGGUUUGGAGGUCUCUGUGAUCCAGGUGAGAAGGGGAAGAACCCAGAAGAGCUCGAUGAAGUGGAUUUCUGUCCCUGGAAAGGAAUGAGGUGGAUUUUCCAGUUAUCCAGAGAAAUGAGAAGUUAUUUCCUUCUGUCCCAACAGCCCUUGGGUUUUUCUGCUCGGUGCAGACCCUUUAAAGGUCCUCGAGUCCAACCCUUGUGGGAUGAGCAGGGGCAGAGUGAGCUUGAUCAGCUUCACAUCCAACCUGACCUUGAAUGUUUGCAGGGAUGGGGCACCCACAGCUUCUCUGGGCAACCCCUGCCAGCGUUUUAGGAGAUGUUUUUAGGAUGUUUUGGAGAAACAUCCCUCUGUUAAAAAACCUGGCAGGAAUCAAUCGCUGUUGGGGUGGGUUUUUAAACCCUCAACUUUACAGUUCUGCCGCCUGUUGGACUCCAGGAACUGCCAUCUCCACGCUCAAUCCACACCACAAAUUUCCAAACAGCUCCUCUGCUCAACCCAACCAUCGGUGAAGCCUCUAUGGACAAAAAAAAACCCAACAAAUGCAGGCAAUUCCUUGCAGAAUCCCAGUUUGGGAUGCAGUCACUCCUGGAGGUGGGCAGGCCCUCGGAGCCGGCCCUCUGGCAUCUCCCAGUCAGCAGGCACACCGCACACAGCGUCUGGGAAUUGCUCAGGUUGGUUGGUUUGGUUUUUUUUGCUAAGUUUUUAUUUUAAUUCAAGGACUUUGCUUCAUACAAAAUGGAAUUGUAGAAACAACUGCAGAAUUCAAAGUUUGGCUGAUAAAUAUUACUCAGGCAGCAAACUAGGCAAUCACAGAACCUUUUUUUUUUUUCUCAAUUUUUUUUUUCCCCUUUAUAUUUUUUUGGGUAAAGUUCCGUUUGUGUUGCAUGAUUGGAACUUUGAUCGUUUUUCACACUGUUUUUUUAAAUAUAAAGUUUUGCAACAAACCCCCGAAUUUAUAUCAAAUAUAAUUAAAAAUUAACAACUGAUGAAUACAUUGUAUCAAAAAAGUACGAAGAUAAACAUUUUCCAUGCACAUACUUUUUAUAGAUAUGUAUAUAUGUAUAUAUAUUACAUGCAAACAUUACUUAUUCAAAGUACAGCCACUACGAGACUGGUUCUGGAUGCAGAAAACUGAUCGGUGCAAUUCAAGUUUGGCAACUCACUAUGAGGAUUCUUGGAAAGAUGGAAAGACAGCAGAGAGGCUGUAAAAAAACGUUGGGAAAGGGUUAUGGAUAAUUGUGGUCUGUCACUGUCAUCGACCCCUACGAGGCGGGUGGAGGAUUUGGACAACUUGAGAUUCUUCUUUGUGUUCUGCCUAAGAAUUGGGGUGACCCAAGGCUGUGUUAGUGCAGGGCUGGGGGGGUUGGGGAUGGAAAAUGGGAGAGGAAAGUGGGGAAAAGACAGAAUUAUUCCGUACAGAAAGACAUCUCUGUUGCUUUCCAGUGUGGGUACAGUGUUUGCAUGCACUGGCAGAGAGAUGGUGUUGCCCCUUCCCCUCGACUUCCUUGAGUAAAAUAGGAACGUUCCCACGGAAAAAUUCAAAUAAAGUGUUUGUGCCUUCGUUUCAGGAAAAUGUAUAAAACAUUUGGUCACGAUCGUGCUGAAGCCUGAAACAGGAAAAUCCAGCAGCUAAAGCUACAGAUGGAUGAAGGUCUUUGAGNUGGGUGGGUGGGUGUGUGUCCGGACGUGUCGUCUGGUUGCAUAGCCCUCCGUUUGGGAAUGCCAGGAACGCCAGCCGUGACCUCUGGCUACCACACUGCCUUUAUUCCGAGCGCACACGAGUACAGAGACAGAGAUACAGACAGGAGUUAGCCUUUAGCAGAAUCCAGGGAUGAGAUCGGCCAGAGAUUGCUACUGAACAGAACGAAAUUAAAACAAAACACCGGAGGGAACAAAACCGGGUUGAGUUUCCUCAAGGGAAGAGCUACAGGAGAUGUGAAGAACCACCCUAGAGCAGACUGCUCCUGCCUGAGGCUGACAGACUUUGCUGAGAGCACGAGAGAGCUCCUGAGCGUUUUGGUGGCAUCUGAUCCCCUCCAAGCACCCCAGGGACAGAACAGAUCACCAGGGCCAGCGGGAUUUCCACCCAUCCCACGCCACCGCUGCGCCUGGAGAAGUUCCACAGGUCUGGGGCUUGGUAGAACCUCUGAAAAAAUUCACUUCUCAAACCCUAUCCUCUUUCCUAGCGGCGUUUUUAGGGAUGUGCCCAGCACCUCCCACCCUUCCUCCUUUCACCUUUUAACCUCUCCACAUCUUCUGGCUGCCCUGUGACCCAAACCAGCCCCACAAGGGCUCAGCAGGGCCUUGGGCACAAGGUCGUGGCCGAGCUUUGUCCCCAGCCUCCCUCCCCGCCAGCACAGCGCGUUUGCCCCUUUCCCAGGCUCACAGUGCAGGAAUCCACACGGGCACAAAAGAAAGAAACCAGCCAACACAAGAGUCAUUGCAAGAAACGCAGAAAUCUCAUCCCUGAGAAUCAGAGUUAGAGGUUUGGAUUAUUAUUAUUAUUAUCAUCUUUUUUUUCUUUUUAACCUUCUUUUAUCAGGCAAUAAAAACAACCCACUCCAACUGCCCUCCACGCCAGUGAUGCACGGCCUGAGCUCUCUCAGCUGGCCUGUGGGAGAUGCUGCCCUUUCCCACCUUCAUUUCCUCCACUGGGCAAUGAGACAAGGCCGGCUUUGUUUGCUGCAAUCGCUCCCCUCCCACCCAUAAAAGUAUAUUUAUAUAUAUUUAUAGAUUCUAAAAAAAUAAAAUAAAACAAAAAUAAAUUAAAAAUAAAAAAAAAGUAAAAGGCCAACAAAACCCAAACCAAGCCCAAAGCACGUUUUGCCUUCCCCACUGGAAGCUGCCAGCCUGGGGAGCAGUGUUGGGGGCCGUGGUGACCCCAGGGCCCCUCCGAGGCUCCGGCAGCUCGGCCCCUGCCCCCUCUGCCCGCCCCAUGCUCGCCCGAGCUCUGAUGCCUCCGAGCAAGAGGUUGCAUCGUCACUGUGAAAGAUUUCAAAGGUUAGGCACUUAGUAGUGAACAACUGGAGCAUUCGGUAGAAACGGUGGGACCUGGAAUGACAAUUGGACUAAUUCUCUACAGAAAGAGGAAAUUUUUUCUUUUUUUUUUUUUUUUUUUGGUUUUUUUUUACUGUACAAUUUACAAAAAUGCACACAAUGAAAAGUUAAAGUUCUAUCUAAUAGCUUGAUAUAAAACCAAUAACAUUUCUUCUUCUCACCCCUACGCUUUUUUUUUUUUUUCCUCUUUUUGUUUGGGCUGUUUGUUGUUUGUUUUUUUUUUUUGUGGACUUUUUUUUUUUUUUUACAUUGUUUUUUGCUAAAUCAAGCUUAUAUUGUAAACAAGACAAAACAGUGAGGGCGUGUUGCAGUCAACAGGAGAGAGGGAUGGAUUGAAAAGUCUCAGCAGCAAGGAAACAGUCCUUACAAAGGAGCUCUCUUGUGGCUUUACCAUGUGUCAGUGUGAAGGACCCGAUGUGGCGAGUGACAUUAAGAGACCCCCAGGGCAGCGGUGCCACAGCAGGGUCAGCUCAGGGGUGGCACCAGCUCUGCCCUAAAGGA